rnacentral:rRNA from 1 species
UACGUAGGGUGCGAGCGUUGUCCGGAUUUAUUGGGCGUAAAGAGCUCGUAGGCGGUUUGUCGCGUCUGCUGUGAAAACUCAGGGCUUAACCCUGAGCCUGCAGUGGGUACGGGCAGACUAGAGUGUGGUAGGGGAGAUCGGAAUUCCUGGUGUAGCGGUGGAAUGCGCAGAUAUCAGGAGGAACACCGGUGGCGAAGGCGGAUCUCUGGGCCAUAACUGACGCUGAGGAGCGAAAGCAUGGGGAGCGAACAGG